rnacentral:rRNA from 1 species
UCGAGGAUCUUUCGCAAUGGGCGCAAGCCUGACGAAGCGACGCUGCGUGAGUGAUGAAGGCCUUCGGGUCGUAAAGCUCUUUCGCGCAAGAACAAGGAAGGGAUGUGAAUAACAUCCUGACUUGAGGGUACUGCGUAAAGAAGCACCGGCUAACUCCGUGCCAGCAGCUGCGGUAAUACGGAGAGUGCAAGCACUAAUCGGAAUUAUUGGGCGUAAAGGGCGCGUAGGCGGGACGAUAAGUCAGAUGUGAAAUUCCGGAGCUCAACUUCGGAGCUGCAUUUGAAACUAUCAUUCUUGAGGAUUGACGGAGAAAACGGAAUUCCACGUGUAGCGGUGAAAUGCGUAGAUAUGUGGAAGAACACCGGUGGCGAAAGCGGUUUUCUAGUUUAUUCCUGACGCGGAGGCGCGAGAGCAAGGGGAGCAAACA